rnacentral:rRNA from 1 species
CUACGUGCCAGCAGCCGCGGUAAUACGGAAGGUCCAGGCGUUAUCCGGAUUUAUUGGGUUUAAAGGGAGCGUAGGCCGUGGAUUAAGCGUGUUGUGAAAUGUAGACGCUCAACGUCUGAAUUGCAGCGCGAACUGGUUCACUUGAGUAUGCACAACGUAGGCGGAAUUCGUCGUGUAGCGGUGAAAUGCUUAGAUAUGACGAAGAACUCCGAUUGCGAAGGCAGCUGACGGGAGCGCAACUGACGCUUAAGCUCGAAGGUGCGGGUAUCAAACAGGAUUAGAUACCCUGGUAGUCCGCACAGUAAACGAUGGAUGCCCGCUGUUGGUACCUGGUAUCAGCGGCUAAGCGAAAGCAUUAAGCAUCCCACCUGGGGAGUACGCCGGCAACGGUGAAACUCAAAGGAAUUGACGGGGGCCCGCACAAGCGGAGGAACAUGUGGUUUAAUUCGAUGAUACGCGAGGAACCUUACCCGGGCUUGAACUAACGGUGACGAAUCUAGAGAUAG